rnacentral:rRNA from 1 species
UACGUAGGGGGCAAGCGUUGUCCGGAAUCACUGGGCGUAAAGCGUGCGCAGGCGGUCAUUUACGUCUGGGGUGAAAGCCCGGAGCUCAACUCCGGGAUUGCCUUGGAUACGGGAUGACUUGAGGAUCGGAGAGGCAAGGGGAAUUCCACGUGUAGCGGUGAAAUGCGUAGAGAUGUGGAGGAACACCUGUGGCGCAGGCGCCUUGCUGGCCGAUUUCUGACGCUGAGGCGCGAAAGCGUGGGGAGCAAACCGG